rnacentral:tRNA from 1 species
GGGGAUGUAGCUCAGCAGCACAGCACCUGCCUGGUGAGUGUGAGGUCCUGAGUUCGAAUCCCCACACCCCCA